rnacentral:rRNA from 1 species
AGUCAAUUUCUGCCCAUUGAAAAAAUUUAAAAGGCUGCGGUAUUUUAACUGUACAAAGGUAGCAAAAUAAAUAGUUUUUUAAUUGAAAACUUGAAUGAAAGAGUUAAUAAAAUAUAAAUUGUCUCAAAUUAAUAAAAAAUUUAAUUUAAAUUAAAAGUAAAAAUACUUUUAUAUUUUUAUUAGACGAUAAGACCCUAAGAAUUUGAUUAUUUAUAUUUUUAUUUAAUUUUUAUAAUAAAUAUAUAAAAAUAUAAAUUAUUUUAUUGGGAGGGUAAAUAAAUUUUUAAACUUUAGUUUUAAUAAAAUAUUUUUAGAUAAAUUUUUAAUGAUUAUUAUUAAGAUUAUAAGAAUAAAUUACCUUAGGGAUAACAGCGUAAUAAUUUUGGAGAGUUCAUAUUGAUAAAAUUGUUUACGACCUCGAUGUUGAAUUAAAAUAAAAAUUAAAUGGAGAGAUUUAAAAUUUUAGUCUGUUCGACUAUUAAAAUUUUAC